GUGGGGAAUAUUGCACAAUGGGGGAAACCCUGAUGCAGCGACGCCGCGUGAGGGAAGAAGGUUUUCGGAUUGUAAACCUCUGUCCUUGGUGACGAUAAUGACGGUAGCCAAGGAGGAAGCCACGGCUAACUACGUGCCAGCAGCCGCGGUAAUACGUAGGUGGCAAGCGUUGUCCGGAAUUACUGGGUGUAAAGGGAGCGUAGGCGGGAAUGCAAGUUGAAUGUGAAAUCUAUGGGCUCAACCCAUAGCUGCGUUCAAAACUGUGUUUCUUGAGUGAAGUAGAGGUAGGCGGAAUUCCUAGUGUAGCGGUGAAAUGCGUAAAUAUUAGGAGGAACACCAGUGGCGAAGGCGGCCUACUGGGCUUUAACUGACGCUGAUGCUCGAAAGCGUGGGUAGCAAACAGGAUUAGAAACCCCAGUAGUCC
rnacentral:rRNA from 1 species